rnacentral:pre_miRNA from 1 species
CCGUCCAGAAAUACUUGUCGGAGGAAUGGAUGUAUCUAGACGUANNUUAGUUCUAGAUACAUUCAUUUCUAUCCAUUUCUGCGACAAGUAAUUCCGGACGG